UCAUCUUCCUGGAGAAGCGCUGAUCAUAUUUUUCAAAUAUUGACGGCCAAAAUAAUAAUAACAAUGACAAAGAAAAUGGGAUGACCCACAUCAUAGAACAGAAUCUUUACUUGGAAACCGACCCUGCAGCACG
rnacentral:lncRNA from 1 species